rnacentral:rRNA from 1 species
GAGUUUGAUCGUGGCUCAGAGCGAACGCUGGCGGCAGGCCUAACACAUGCAAGUCGAACGCCCCUUCGGGGGAGUGGCGGACGGGUGAGUAACGCGUGGGAAUGUGCCCUUUGGUACGGAACAACGUGAGGGAAACUUCAGCUAAUACCGUAUGUGCCCUACGGGGGAAAGAUUUAUCGCCAUUGGAGCAGCCCGCGUUGGAUUAGGUAGUUGGUGGGGUAAUGGCCCACCAAGCCGACGAUCCAUAGCUGGUCUGAGAGGAUGAUCAGCCACACUGGGACUGAGACACGGCCCAGACUCCUACGGGAGGCAGCAGUGGGGAAUCUUGCGCGAAUGGGCGAAAGCCUGGACGCAGCCAUGCCGCGUGUAUGAUGAAGGUCUUAGGAUUGUAAAAUACUUUCACCGGGG